GAUGAACGCUGGCGGCGUGCUUAACACAUGCAAGUCGAACGGAAAGGCCUCAGCUUGCUGGGGUACUCGAGUGGCGAACGGGUGAGUAACACGUGGGAGAUCUGCCCUGCACUUUGGGAUAAGCUUGGGAAACUGGGUCUAAUACCGAAUAUGACCACUUCUUGGAUGUUGUGGUGGAAAGCUUUUGCGGUGUGGGAUGAGCCUGCGGCCUAUCAGCUUGUUGGUGGGGUAAUGGCCUACCAAGGCGGCGACGGGUAUCCGGCGUGAGAGGGUGAACGGAGACAUUGGGACUGAGAUACGGCCCAGACUCCUACGGGAAGCAGCAGUGGGGAAUAUUGCACAAUGGGCGCAAGCCUGAUGCAGCGACGCCGCGUGGGGGAUGAAGGCCUUCGGGUUGUGAACUCCUUUCGCUAUCGACGAAGCCACUUGUGGUGACGGUAGGUAGAUAAGAAGCACCGGCUAACUACGUGCCAGCCGCCGCCGUAA
rnacentral:rRNA from 1 species